ACACGUGCCGUGGGGGAGAUUCUUGGGGUUUUGGGGUUUGGUGUUGGGGUUCCGUUUUUUUACUAACUUCAGUACUAUCUUACGAGGCACAGAUCAGCUGCAUUCCUAUCAUGUAUCAGGAUCGCGGAGAGACACAAAGCUGCACCUUUAAGCGGAGAUUAUUUUGAAGGCAUCAUAAAAAAAAAACUAAAAACAAAGCGAACACCGGCAGAUGAAGGAUUUUUGUAAAAAGCAUCCUUCCCUAAUGCUGGGAAAAAUAACUUUAUUUUAUUUUUUACAAUCUGCAUAUACUUGUAAUUGAGAUGCAGAACCAGACUCCUCCUCCCGCCGCUCCGGUAGCGACGAGCAGGACGGGCCCAGGAAAACCCCCCCCAGGCCCAAGGAAGCCGCUCCGUCCCCGGCCGCCGCCGCGACCCCGGGGCCGGGCCCCUCUCCCGCCCCGCCGCUGCUUCCCAAUAAAACUCGUUCACUCCCUUCCCGGAACGGCCUCUCUCCGCCCGCGUUCCCGGGGGGGAUCGGGGAGCGAGCAGGCCCGGCUGGGAGCCGGCGUGGUGGAGGAGGACACCGAGGAGUGGCAGAGAGAUCCCGGUUUCGCCGGACUGGAGAGAGUGGGAGGCGUGGAUUUAUCGUACAUCAAAGGAGACGACAGCAGCGCCUGCGCCUCCCUGGUGGUGCUCAGCUACCCGGCCCUGGAGGUGCUGUACGAGGACUGCCGGAUGGUGACGGUGAGCGCCCCGUACGUGGCAGGAUUCUUAGCCUUCCGAGAAGUCCCUUUCCUGGUGGAAGCUGUUCAGAGACUUCAGCAGGAGGAGCCCAGGCUCAGACCCCAGGUACUCCUCGUAGAUGGGAAUGGCCUGCUCCAUCCCAGAGGAUUUGGUGUGGCCUGUCACCUUGGUGUCCUGACGGAUCUGCCAUGCAUUGGAGUGGCCAAGAACCUCCUGCAGGUGGAUGGCUUGGUCAGGGAUGAGCUGCACAGAGAGCAGAUUCGUUCCCUGCAGAGGGAAGGAGAUACAUUCCCACUGACAGGCACUUCUGGGCGAGCCCUGGGCAUGGCCCUGCGUAGCAACAACAACAGCUCUAAGCCGCUUUAUAUCUCUGUGGGUCACAGGGUGUGCCUGGAGACAGCCGUGCGUCUAGUCAAGUCCUGCUGCAGGUACCGGAUCCCGGAGCCCAUCCGUCAGCUCGCAGAAUCGUUAAGCAGUUGUGGAGCUGCGUUUCCAGCCGGCAGAGCCUCCACCCGAGACAUCUGACUAGGGAUGGAGGGCGGUGGGGAGCUUCUUGAGGUACGGGAGAGGCUCUUCAGAAGCAGCCCAGCGAUGAGAGCGGCAAGUGCUUCAAGGACAGCCACUGGGGAUGCGUUAACCCACUUUAUUAGCAUGAUCAUCAUGUGCUGCGAAGCUUUUCCAGCUGGGAAGGUCACAUACUGCUUUUUAAGUGGAGAGAGACACUCUGCCUUUGAGGUGGGGCACAGCAGCUGUUCCAAAAUGUCACAGCAAAGCAGUGUUUUUGAGAAAGGAAGUUUCUAAAAGAGAAAAAAACUUGGAGGGAAUGUAAAAAUCAACUCCCAGUUCUCGAAGGUGCUCAAGAGCCCAGGAUCUGCAUGCUUAUGAUACCAUCCAAGAGUCUUCUGCACUGUAAAGCUGAACAGUAACACUUCUGGGGGGCAAGAACAUCCAGUAAAUGCCCAGCAACGCUUUCUGUAGCUCUUGAGAUUUCCGUUUUGGUGUUCUCCUUGCCCCACUCUGACCACAUGCUGUCCUGCACUGCUGAUAAGACACCACAAUCUGGUUUUCUUGGUGAGCGCAGGAGGGCUCAUGUCCCAGGAGACUGUAUCAGAAGAGGCAGGAACGGGACACUUGCAUGAGGGUGGGUUUGAUGAGGUUUGGUGAUGGCUCCGAGAUCAAUUCCAAAUGAGAAGGGCAGUGCACUGUGAUUUUGGUAGCCUCAACAUUACUCCUUUUGAUUUUGGUACUGGAAAGCAGAGCCCAGAGCAUGGAUACGGCCCGGCGUGUAAAGUGCUCCCGCUGUCUUCCUUGGCAGCUUUGCCUUUGGACUCGUGAGGCAGGACAGUGCGAAGGGUGUGUCAGUCACUUGCCUUGCAACGGCUGCCAAGAAGCGAUAGAGCCAAGGAUGUGCUUGCGUCUUGUCUCUGCUUUUAGCGGGUGUUUUUACCUGCUUUAGCUGUAUAGUCACCAUCGCGCAGCCAGCACGCAUAGGCAGGAUGAGCCAAGCUCUUGCCUAGGGAAAAGGAUGUGCAGCAGACGAGUGGUGUGCUUCUCCAUCUGUUGCUGCACCAUACAGCUGCUGGAACAGAGGAAGGAAAGGGAUGGGUACAAGAACAGGCAAUGCCAGCUUCUCUCUUUUCAUCCCAUGUCCUGUUGAGGAGUCGCCCGCUGGAUUGCUGUAUUCCCAAAGUCUUCACAGCCCUCUCCGUAGUCCCGUUUUCCCUCUCGAUUUACAGUUUCCUGUGGAGGGCAGAGUCCCAGGUCUCAGCUAAUAGUGACCAGAAAAGCUCAUCCUCUGGGAACAUUGCAGUGUCACAUCUAUAAAGAUGAUCGUGGAGCGCUGUGAGCCUGGAGGCUGCAGCCCCGCACCUGCUUGCGGUGCCAGUGGGGUCCCUGUCAGCGCAGUGCUGGGACACAGCUCUGUUCCACUGAGUGUGCAGUGCAGGUUAUUGCAGCAGAGUCCAUGGGGCAUUCUGCUGCCCUGGGAUCAGUCAAUAAAAAGCUCCAGUAUUUCCUCACCUUUUGAGGAGGGAUCUAUGAGCCACUGUCCCAUGCUAAAUUGCUUUGCAAUGCUGCAGAAACCUGCCUUCGCAUCCGUAUGGUUUUGGCUCUCCGACAACUUUCUGGGUGCCAGGGGACACACUUCAGCGUAGGCUGAAGGUUUUCGAUAGCUUUGAGCAGAAGGGGUGAAGAAGGACCAAAGAAAUAGAAGAGCGGGCAGAGCCCUGGGCUGAAGGGGAGUCAUUCUUUUUGAGCUUCUUUAUCUGUGAGCAUUUUGCUGACACACAGGAACCCCUGAGCACUAUGGAGACCUGCAUGUGAUCGCAGCGUGCGAUCCCUUCACAGAGCGAGGGUGGCGGAGCGGCUUCUGUUGCUUCAGUGGGAGCACUGGUUUGCUUUUUGGAACAUCUCCUGUUGAGGGAAGGAAGACUUACCCUGCUCUCAAGUUUCUAACAAGUCUGUUCCAUCUCUCAUCGGUUAGUGAUGAGCUAUUGCCGGGGAAGGCCUGUGAAGCAGCUUAGCUGCUCGUUACAUUUUCCUACAUUGCCUUUGGAGGUGCCUACCUGUGGAAGAAGUCAUUUGGGUCGGUUCGAAGGACAAAAGCACUAGACCACUCUCAGGCUCCCAGGACUCCUCCAGUCCAGCUCUGCUGCCGGGGUUCACCAGAGAGGGGUUGCAGUUCUGGCGGAGAGAUAAGGCACAAUGGGAAAGCAGCCCAUCACCUCAGCAGCUCUCCCUUUGCCAGUGAACACCUUACAAAGCCUCUGGAAAUCCUCGCUGGCCUGUCACAUCCCUGGACAACGAGGAGGACAUCUUAGGAGCCAUUCAGUGUAGGGAUAAGGUGAGGGAUGCCAGCUGGGUCAGUGCUUGCUGCAGGAAGGCUCACUGCGCUGCAGUGUGGGCGGGAAGGCUGUGCUCCUUCAUCCUCUGGGUCCCGUAGGGACCCUUGGUGAAGGCUGGUGACACUCAGCUGCAGCCGGGAUUUGCUGAGGAAGCCCAGUCUGGGUCCCACUUUGGCUGUUCAUCCCGCCGUGCUCGGGGUAGGUCGGGGCUGAGCAGACAUUAGGCACCAGCUGGCAGGACCUGCCUGUGCCCCGUGUCUCACCUCCCUACUCCUGUGAGAAGUAAAGGGGCAGACAGCAAGGGUUCAGCGAAUGUUGUUUCUGCCUCCGAAAUGGACUGUACUCCAGGAUCCUCUAUUUCAUUUUAAGUCUUCAUUCUCACAAGCAGCUUGCAGUGAGGCACAGAAACCGAACAGGGAAAGAAACAUGCAGGUUCCUCUGCAACGGAGUCAUACAAAAGCUAUUUGUGAUGUACUGACAUCAGGGUGCGCAGGGGCCUACUGAGAGAACAAAGGGGAGGCACCAAGCAGGCUGCUCAGUCCAUUUUCACUCAUUUUCCUCCUUAAUUCCAGGCUGAUAUUAGAUCGAGGGAGUAUAUUCGGAAGCAGCUGUGUUCACCACUGGAGGUCACGUCUUCUGGGCCGGAGAGUGGAAAAAAGGAGGCUGAACUGGAUGGUUAGUCUGAUGCCAGAAGAAACUGCGGGGCUCCUCUUGACUGGAUCCUCUCCUCCACCACGACGGUGGUUCUGUCGAGUGCGACAGCCGAGAGCCACCCCAGGGAGAGCAGCGCAAGGCCGUGUCAGUCAGGACAACGCCAGCCGCCCUGCGUGGUCCUGGUGGGCCGGCAGAGCUGCUUCUGUGCAAGGAUAAUGUUUAGGGCGUAUUUCUCAGGGUUGAUUUUUAAGCAUUAUAAAAAUAUUUGUGUAAGCAAAGGCA